CCUAGUUGAUCCUGCCAGUAGUCAUAUGCUUGUCUCAAAGAUUAAGCCAUGCAUGUUUAACUAUGAACUAAUUUAGACUGUGAAACUGCGGAUGGCUCAUUAAAUCAGUUAUAGUUUUUUUUAUGGUACCAUAAUACUUGGAUAACCAUAGUAAUUCUAGAGCUAAUACGUGCACCAAGUUCCGACUCUUUGGAAGGGAUGCAUUUUUUAGAUAAAAGGCCAGCACGAGCUUGCCCGCUUCUCCAGUGAAUCAUGAUAACUCGAAGAAUUACACAACCCUUGUGCUAGCGAUGCUUCAUUCAAAUUUCUUCCCUAUCAACUUUAGAUGGAAGGAUAGAGGCCUACCAUGGUGGUGAUGAGUGAAGGAGAAUUAGGGUUCGAUUCCAAAGAGGGAGCCUGAGAAACAACUACCACAUCCAAGGAAGGUAGUAGGCAUGCAAAUCACCCAAUCCUGACAUGGGGAGGUAGUGACAAUAAAUAAAAAUGUUGGGCUCAUCAAGUCUGGUAAUUGGAACGAGUACAAUCUAAAUCCCUUAACGAGAAUCCAUUGGAGGGCAAGUUUGGUGCCAGCAGCCGCGGUAAUUCCAGCUCCAAUAGCGUAUAUUUAAGUUGUUGCAGUUAAAAAGCUCGUAGUUUGAUAUUGGGUUGUAAAGGUCGGUCCGCCUACUCGACGUGCACCUACCCUUCUAUCCGUUUUGUCGGUGGUGUGCUCUUGGCCUUAAUUGGCUGGGUCACGGCUCUGGUAUUGUUACUUUGAAAAAUUAGAGUGCUCAAAGCAAGCUUAUUCUCUAAAUACAUUAGCAUGGAAUAACGUGAUAGGAGUCUAGUCCUAUUGUGUUGGCCUUUGGGACUGGAGUAAUGAUUAAUAGGGACUGUCGGGGGCAUUCGUAUUUCAUUGUCAGAGGUGAGAUUCUUGGAUUUAUGAAAGAAGGACCACUGCAAAAGCAUUUGCCAAGGAUGUUUUCAUUAAUCCAGAAUGAAAGUUGGGGGCUCGAAGAUGAUCAGAUACCAUCCUAGUCUCAACCAUAAAUGAUGCCGACCAGGGAUCAACGAAUGUUUCUCUAAGGACUCCGCCAGCAUCUUCUGAGAAAUCAGAGUGUUUGGGUUCCGGGGGGAGUAUCGUCGCAAGGCUAAAACUUAAAGGAAUUGACAGAAGGGCACCACUAGGAGUGGAGCCUAUGGCUUAAUUUGACUCAACACGGGGAAACUUACCAGGUCCAGACAUAGUAGGGAUUGACAGAUUGAGAGCUCUUUCUUGAUUCUAUGGGUGGUGGUGCAUGGUCGUUCUUAGUUGGUGGAGCGAUUUGUCUUGUUAAUUUUGAUAACAAAUGAGACCUCAGCCUACUAACUAGCUACAUGGAGGUUUCCCUUCGUGGCUAGGUCUAUGAUGCCAUUAGAUGUUCUGGGUUGCACUCACCCUACACUAAUGCAGCCAAUGAGCUUUUCUUCCUAGUUCGAGAGGAUCAGGAAAUCUUCUCAAAUUGCAUCAUGAUGGGGAUAGACCAUUGCAAUUAUUGGUCUUCAACAAGGAAUUCCAAGUAAGCGCAUGUCAUCAACUCGUGUUGACUACAUCCCUACCCUUUGUACACAUCGCCCAUUGCUCCUACCGAUUGAAUGAUCCGGUGAAGUGUUUGGAUUGCGUCGAUGAUGGUCAUUCACCGCCGUCAACGUCGUGAGAAGUUCAUUGAACCUUAUCAUUUAGAGGAAGGAGAAGUCGUAACAAGGUUACUGUAGGUGAACUUGUGGUAG
rnacentral:rRNA from 1 species